AGCAGCCGCGGUAAUUCCAGCUCCAAUAGCGUAUAUUAAAGUUGUUGCAGUUAAAAAGCUCGUAGUUGAAUUUCGGGGUUAGUAGGUUGGUCAUGCCUCUGGUAUGUACUGGUCUCACUGAUUCCUCCUUCCUUAUGAACCGUAAUGCCAUUAAUUUGGUGUUGCGGGGAAUUUGGACUGUUACUUUGAAAAAAUUAGAGUGUUUAAAGCAAGCUAACGCUUGAAUACAUUAGCAUGGAAUAAUGAAAUAGGACGUUCGAUCUUAUUUUGUUGGUUUCUAGGAUUGACGUAAUGAUUAAUAGGGAUAGUUGGGGGGCAUUAGUAUUCAAUUGUCAGAGGUGAAAUUCUUGGAUUUAUUGAAGACUAACUACUGCGAAAGCAUUUGCCAAGGAUGUUUUCAUUAAUCAAGAACGAAAGUUAGGGGAUCGAAGACGAUCAGAUACCGUCGUAGUCUUAACCAUAAACUAUGCCGACUAGGGAUCGGAUGAUGUUAAUUUUUUAAUGACUCAUUCGGCGCCUU
rnacentral:rRNA from 1 species